rnacentral:rRNA from 1 species
UACGUAGGGGGCAAGCGUUGUCCGGAAUUAUUGGGCGUAAAGCGCGCGCAGGCGGUUACUUAAGUUUGGUGUUUAAGCCCGGGGCUCAACCCCGGUUCGCACUGAAAACUGGGUGGCUGGAGUGCAGGAGAGGAAAGUGGAAUUCCACGUGUAGCGGUGAAAUGCGUAGAGAUGUGGAGGAACACCAGUGGCGAAGGCGACUUUCUGGACUGUAACUGACGCUGAGACGCGAAAGCUAGGGUAGCAAACGGG